AAAUCCCACUUGGUCGUGGUGAAUAAUCCUUUUAAUGUACUGUUGGAUCCUAUUGGCUAGUAUUUUGGUGAGAAUUUUUGCAUCCAUGUUCAUCAGGGAUAUUGGUCUGUAAUUCUCCUUUUUGAUGGGGUCUUUUUCUGGUUUUGGGAUCAAGGUAAUGCUGGCCUCAUAAAAUGAGUUUGGAAGUUUUCCUUCCAUUUCUAUUUUUUGGAACAGUUUCAGAAGAAUAGGUAUUAAUUCUUCUUUAGAUGUUUGGUAGAAUUCCCCUGGGAAGCCAUCUGGCCCUGGGCUUUUGUUUUUUGGGAUGCAAGAUACGUUUUUUGUUAGUCUAAGCCAGGGUUCAGGAAGUAGAGGGAAGAAUAGUCCCUUAUAAUAGCCAGCAGGUUUCCUUCCAGUCUUGUGAUUUUACUGUAAUAGGUUGGCCUUUUCACAACAGAUCUCCAGCCCCACUUCCUGGUAGCUUAUAGGUGGAAGGAUCAAGGGGUCUUUGUGAUGAUUUUGUGAUUUCUGGAAGCCCCAAAGGUAUGCUCCUUGGGAUAAUCCAGACUUCCUGGCUUCCCAACAGGACUCCAGGAUUGGUUCACAUGUGAAAGGAGGAGGAAGAUAAUUGGUAUUUUUUAAUAUACCCGGGAUCUGUUUAAAUCAGAUGUAGUAAGACAUACAGAUAUGAAAUGAUUGUCAUGAGGGAAGUUUUAAUAUAUUUUUUAAGAUUUUAUUUAUUUAUUUAUUUGAGAGAGAGAGAGAGAGAAACAGCAUGAGAGGGGAUAGGGUCAGAGGGAGAAGCAGGCUCCCUGCUGAGCAGGGAGCCCAGUGCGGGACUCGAUCCCGGGACUCCAAGAUCAUGACCUGAACCGAAGGCAGUCGCUUAACCAACUGAGCCACCCAGGCGCCCCAUGAGGGAAGUUUUUACACUCACAGACCCAUCCCUAGAAAUAGGAGGCAUGGCAUGUCAUGCCACCCAGGGCCAUGUGGGAAGUGCUGGUGUAGACCAGGAGGCAGAAAGCAUGCACACGUCUUUAUUGUGGUUUCUGUGGGAGGGAAUGGGUGAGGCAAGGUGAGCAGGCUUAGGAUUGGCUAGUUUGAAUAAUUUCAGUAGAUUCUGGAUCAUAGGAGCUGUCCUUAGUUGUCUCAUAUGUGGUCCUGGGAUGAUUAGGGCAGAGGAAUAAUGCCUCCUAGAAUAUAAGAACAAAAGAGAGGAGGUGAUUUGGAGUAUGGGCUCUGGAUUGGUUAGUCUGUAUGAAAGCCAUUUGCUAUCUGUAAUGGGAGAGGCAGUGUCUCUUCAGUCAGGGAGGCCCCAGGUGGCAGAGGAUCAAGAAUACAGAAAAAAAAAGAAAAUACAGUUAAUAUAAUCAGUGAUACAAAAUUUAGCAGCCUUGAAAGCUAGCCCAGAACGUUUAGCAAAACCAUUUAAAUAGUCUUUGCUCCAUUUAUUCUGCAGAACCUGGUGCCAGUGCCCUGAUUUUGGUCUUCAUAGAUACUAAUUAAUGCUAUUAUUCCGCGAGGCCACAGAGUAUAUCCUUUUAGACCUUCAGGCCAUUCUGAAAUUACACGUCCUUAGGCAAAAACAGCAUAUGUGGCUAAAUGAAAUCCAAAUUCUUAUAAAUACUGGAUCAGAAACCUUUCCUCAUUCCUCCCAAUGAUGAAUUUUUAGCUCUGCUGUUAACUGGUCUUGGGCAAGUCACUAAGCCCGUCUAUAUCUUCUCCCCCCAACCCUUCCAGCGAAGUGAGGGGCUGCUCUGAAAUUCUUCACAUGUGGGGAGAUCCACAGGUAGACUAUCCACCAGGAAAUGAUGGUGAGGUCUUAAAACUUCAUGGAAUUCCCCUUGCAUUUCUCCAGUAAGAGGCUUGUUGCUGUCAGCUGCCAGGCUGACAGGCCAGGCCAAGCCUCCUUUGGGAGAUCAAGUGUUAAGUCCUACAGAAUGCUAGAAGAAACUUGGCAAGUGUCUGAGUGUUGUGAAUAAUAGGCUCUGUGCCAGGUUAUCUUAUUUAAACUUCACAUUCCUCAGAAGCAGAUACUGUUAUUAUUCCUCAUUUAACAGUUGAGAAAACAGGAGGUGAGAUAGGUUAAGUUGCCCAUGGUCUCACUGCUGAGAAAGUGGAACCCAUAUUUGUCUGACUUCAAAGUAUAAGAAUUAGACUUAUUUUAUGUAAUUACAGAGGUGAAGAGUAGAUCAAAAUGAGGGCAAAAUGCAGGGAGACAUAUUCUGGCUCAAUGUUAUUUUGAACCAUGAUUGUCAGUCAAAACUGUAAUGGGCUUUUCUCACUGGAAGGAUUCAGGUCCAAGUUGGAUUACCAUUUUUUCAGGGAUGUUAUUAAGGGGAAUCUCCAGUUGAUUGAGAGAUGGACUAUACACCCUCUGAAUAUCCCUUUGAGCCCUAAAAUUGCAAUAUAUGUAAUUCUACAGUUGUGUGAUUCACACAAAUCAGUUGGAGACCCCACCGCCAGAGGGCAGUGUCUUCACAUUUGAUCCAUUUGUACAGGAGGAAUCAAGUGGUUCCCUCUGGAACUGUCUAGAGUGUGCCUGGUGUAGAACUAUCACAGGGGUAAAAUGGGCCAGUGUGAAGAGAGAAAGAGGGAGUCACCACCGGAAUGUUAAUAUCCCUUCCUUUACCAGCUGAACAAUGAUUUCUGCCUGCCAGCGCAUUCAAAAGAGGCAGGCAGGAAUUGGAGUUCUUGGGUCCCCUGAGGAUGGUACCUGAGCAGACGUGGCUCCCCCAGCCUCUUCCAGCCUGUCACUGAGGUCUUCGAGGUCCCGGGACAGGUCACUGCGUUGUUUCUCCACCUGGGGAAGAUCAAUGAGCAUGACGGGAGCCGUGCAGGAGCCCCCCCUUCUCUGCGCCCAACAGGCCCUGUGUGAGGCUGGGAGCUCCCUGUCCACGAGCAGCACCUACUCGCCGUCUCCCUGUAUCCUCUGUGCUGGGCACGGUGCCUGCAGCCAGCAGGUGCUGGGGACGUGCAUUAAUGCAUGUGAAGCCCCCAGCACAGUGCCCAGCACCUGGCGCCACCCAGGAAGUGCUAGAUACUGCUAACGUUGUCAUGGGCAGAAUGAACACCUGCAUGGGCAUACUUUUUCA